rnacentral:lncRNA from 1 species
UUUUUAAACCUAUUAAAUCAAUCAGUUCACGUCGAGUUAAUUUUCGUACAGAUUAAUUUUUCUGCAACAGCUUGAUCUAUCUGAACGACAUGAAAAGCUAGCAGCCAGAAGUGAAAAACCAACAACAAUUUCAAACAAUUACUUUAUUCCUGCUAAAGGAAAGAAUUUUUUUUUCUUCACUUUUAAUGAGAAUGAAGGCAUGAGAUUUCGAGAAUACAUUAUUCAUUGGAUAUGAAAAGUCAUAAUAUUCCAGAUUUUUCUGAAUUAAGAUUGCUAUUUAUAAUUGUUUUCGUUAAUAAUUAUCUAAACGAAUUUGAAGUCCGAUUCAGCCAUGCACGGAAUAUUGAUGGUGUUUAUCACGUUUUGCGCCAGAAAUACACUAUUAAAGUGUCUUCUGAAAAUUUCCAUGUGCCACGAUGGUGCACUCACUUUUUCCUGAAAGGAUGAGCCUACACCCCUGGCCUAAAUGAAAAGCCUUGAGACGCACAAGCCUAGAAAGCUAGCCUUGCAGGCCUAGUUUUCUUCUGUUUUUUAAAUGGGUGAGUGACACUUUUUGUCGCCACCUCUAUUUUUCUAAAAUAGAAUUUCAUUCAAAUUCUGACCUCUAAAUUCUUGGACCACCAUUAUAAUUCAAAUCUCAACUUGUCUUGAACUAAAAUAUCUUAGAUAUUUUAAUAAAAUUAUUUUUAAUCUAAAAAUACAUUUAAUUAAUGUAAAAAUUACAAAUCAAAAUAAAAUUAACAAGUCACAAUCUAUUUAUAUAUAUAUAUAUAUAUAUGUUUAAAUGUUAAAACAACUUUCAUUGAACUCUCAUCUCUGAAACAAAAGUCAUUGACAUCAGCAUCGUUAUUUUUAUGAUUAAAAUAUGGCCGAUCACACUUUUUCUUUAUUUAUUUUUUAUUGACUUUUUAUCUCUUCUCUUAAUAUUGAGUGACUAAAACAUGAUAAAAAUAAAGUUUAUAAUCAAACUGUAAAAACUUAAAAUAAUAAGGACUAAAUAUGCAAAAAUUAAAACUUUAGGGACUAUAUUGAUUUUUUCCAUGCCUUUUGAACAAUGUAAAUGAAAAGGGCUUGUUUUUAUGUUAAUUUUGGUUAUUUUUCUUUCAUUUUUUUAACAAUAACCUAAAUCUUUAUUUGUAAAUUUCAUCUUUAAUUUAACAUUGAAAUAUUUUUAGUCAUUUUGGAUACACUCGAGCAUGCAAAUCGAAGUUGAUUCCAACAUGUAAAACCAUGUUAAGGUGACAUUGAAAAAAAAUAAAAUUUAACUAUAGUGCAAAAAAAUUCAAGGAUCAAAAAGAUAAAAAAUUUUGCUAUUAAUAACGAAAUGUGAGAGAAUAGUUAUUAAAACUUAAAAGUGUGUUUUAGUUUAUUGUAUAAUUUAAUCUAAAAAUAGAAUAUAAAUUACUGAGAAUUUCUUAUUUUUAUGAAUUUACCGAUCCAAGUAUAAAUAACUUAGAACUUAAAAUAAUAAUAAUAAUAAUAAUAAUAAUAAUAAAAGAAGUAAGUUGCAAAAUAGGCGUAAUUUCAGGUCCAAGCCCCUUGCAAUGAUGCCUACAAGAAGGGGCCAGAUAAUCUGAUUAAGGUUCAUAACACUUUAGGAGGCCCAGAAGUCUAUGAUGUUUUUCAACAGAAUAUAAACUCUUAAGCAGAAGUUAGGAUUCAGUUCACCUCCGUCUCUGACUCCCAAUCCACAACAGCAAAAGCUAAGAUUCUUUCUUGACAUGAUGAUCAGUUUUUCGCAACCUGUUUGCAGAGUACCGAGUUCACUAAUCCCUGUUUCCUAUGUGGGUUCUUCUUAUUUCUUGCAAAAUCUUCCAAAAGACCCAUGUAGAGUAGGCAAAGAUUUCUACUUCACAGAAAAAACAAGACUUGGUGGUUGCAAGAGGAAAAGGAGGGUAGUUUGUGGUGCUGGUUUGAUGUUUCCAGUUGAUCCAUGGGCACCUAACAUUGACUCACAGAGCAUUGCCUCACAGCUGUUUGCAUUCUCUUUGUUUCCUUACAUUGGUUUCUUGUACUUCAUUACCAAAUCCAAGACUGCUCCUAAGCUCACUCUCUUUGGUUUCUACUUCUUGCUUGCCUUUGUUGGGGCUACCAGUGAGUUUCUUUGGCCAUAUUUGUGCUUGCAGUUUUCUUGUUUGUUAUUUUGAUGCUUGAAAUUAUUGAAUUGAGGAAUGAGGUGGAUUUUGAAGUUUUAGGAAUUUUUAGUUAAUUUGUUGGAUUAAUGUAGAAAUUAGUAAAAAAUUGAACUGUCUGGAGAUACCCUUUUCCUCUCUUUACUAAAACACGUCCUUUCGUGUUCUCAUAUGGCCGAGGACUAGAAGUGUUUGUGAAUGGGGGAUUAAGGGCAACAGCCAAACAGGUUCCAUUAAAAAGAAGAGAUCUUUUCAUGCAACGCACAUUGUAUUUGUGCCAUUAAUGAUAUAUAAUAUCGUAUUGUAGGAUCAGAACUUGGGGAUUAACCUAAUAUGUUGAUGAAUAAUAUUGGUGGAUUUUUAAACAUUGUUCCUUUUGCAUGAAAUUUUCCCUGACUAGGUUUAUAAUUCUUGUUCUGCCAUUUUUCGAAUGUCUUCUGUUGUCAGACAGCUUGUUUUAUCUAUACUGACUUUCUUCCUAAUGGUUCUUUGGUUGCUCCACAUCUGUUGAGCAGUCCCAGCAGGAAUUUAUGGUAACUUCUCCCACUGUAUAGGAUUUAAUUUGAACAUCAAUCAGCUUUAUUAUUCAUGCCUUCCCUAACUUUCUAGUGGGACUUAUGUUUGCAUGGUUGAGGCAGCAAAGGUGCAUUAUGGUACUUCCUUGUCUAAUGUGGAUUGGUUGCAUGGAGGAGCUGAGUCACUUCUCACCCUAACCAACUUAUUCAUUGUCUUGGGGCUAAGACAAGCUAUUAGGAAUGAAAAUGCCCCCGAAAAAAGUUCAUCAGAUCCUGUUUCAGAAAUCGAAGAGGAAAAGAAACCUUCUGUCUAGGUAAUUUAUUCAAUCACGAUAUCUCCUUCACUUUGCAAACAUCGAUUAGUGAUCUCUCUCUACUUCCAUGCUCUUACUCCAGAUGGAUGUUCGAAUGGUCCAUACUUAUGCAGUCCUUGUUACUUAUGCUCUGCUUCUGGUCAGCCACAAGUACCUGUGCAUUAAGGCUUCAUUCCAGCCGAGUGCUGGAGAUACUGAUUCAUUGCAAAACUGUUACAAGGAAUCAUAAGUAUUCAGCUUAGCGUUUUGUACAUCGUGUAUUUUUCUUGUAAGGAACCGUCUUGAUCUGUGGUCCAUUUUCUUUUGGAAUCUUCAUCAGUUGGGUGAUUUCCUAUGAAUGACAGAAUGUAUUUGUGAGCUAUCGUGUAAAAUCGACAUAUAAUAGGUUCGUAUGCAAACAAGAGUGGUUUGUACAUUUUUCUGUGCUGUCUCUGCGUGAUCGUUAAAUUUAUUCUUGUUUGCGAUGCUUCUAAGUGUUUUUCCUUGUUUUCUUUUUUGGUCCUAGAAGUCAACAUGCAGUGGCCUCUAAUCUACUGCUGAAUUGUCUUUCGAGGUUAUAUAAGCAUAUGUUAUGUUAAUGGAAGUUUUAGUUAGUAGCAAUACAAUUACUGAUGUUAUUUAUAGGAACUUCAAAAUUUUUCAAUGCUGCCAUAGCUAAUCCUAUUUUACAUGCAUCCUUUCCUCAUUUAUAAUACAAGCUAGGUUCUACAGGCGAAACCAGCCAGAGUGUUGGAUUGCACACAAAUGCAGCACUUUCUCAUUUCUUAUUGUGGAGUGUCUGCAUGAAAUUAUGAGAAAAAUCCAGGUGUGUCGAACGGAAAGUUGGGGUCUAACUCCACUUGAUCAAGUGAGAAAUCCAAGUCCACAAUUGGAGAAUUGGUCGCUGACGUGUUGGUUGAGAUUAUCUCAGUGAAAUCCGAUUCCAGAUGCUGCAAAUUAUAUGCUCCUACAAAAUUGUUCAUCUGGAAUGGUGAAACUGAGUAGUGAGUUGGUUCAGGUGUAGCUGGAGAUAUAAACGACGGAGAAUAACUGCUCACAUUCUUUGAGCAUCCGUAUGCAGAGGGAAAAGAGAAGGGAGAUACCAUCUCUUUAUUGUCCAAGUCCUCAGUAAUAACCUUUAGGCUAUUUUGGAAGUUAUAGAGGGCUUGCUGUGACUGCUGUUGUUGAUAGUUGUUAUUGGUAUUCUUUUGUUUCUUUUCUUGUUUUUCUGGUGAUGAUGGUGAUGGAAUCGAUUGGUUUCCAUGAGCGCAGGUGUGCGUUCCUCGGUAUGUGAUCUCAAAUAUGGUGGGAUCUUCAUCUGAUCUCUGCACUUGCUUUGUAGCCCAGCAGUUCUGAGUAUUUCUGUAGGUGCACCUGUAAUAGCUUCUGCACAUGUAACAAUCUCUCAUUAGAUGUCUAAACUAUAUAUAGCAAGAUGAGAUGACUGUUGAAACAUAUAAUUUUUUGUAUAAUUUAAGUUUUGAGUGCUUGGUUGGUGACACAUACUUUCAAUGUCAUCAAGCCCUUGCUGUGAGAAACUAGUGACACGAGUCAGUUUCAAGUUCUUUUACUCGUGCUCUUAGUUACUGUUAAGCCGUAAAGUAUACAGUCACAAGUGGUGGCAUUUGUAACUUUCCAAGAAAGAAGAGAGAAAGGACUAGUCACCUGGGAUAUUUUGCUCCUAAAAUAUCUUUCUGCCCGUAUUUUCUCCAGCUAUAGCCAUCAUCAUGAGGACCCUCAAGUCCAUUCUCAGGACUGACUCUAACAUGAUCUGUCCAUCUGGGAGUGGUCUUUCUGCAAUCCAAAUCGGAAAACAUUUUACAAGAAGCAUUAGCACAACUGAAAUGGACAUAAUCUUCUAGCAACAUGCAAGAGUUGUAACAGUAAACCACAAGUUCACCUCUUCUUUGAGGCCUCAUUAUAACCCUGAUUAUCCUUAACACCCCCAUCGAACUCGUCACUUCGUGAGCUUCCAUUAAUGGAUAUGGGGGACUCUGGAACACCAGCGGAGACUCCAACACUUUGUGGCUGUCCCAUUGACCCACCCCAGUUGAGAAUCAAGAGAGCCCUCUCAUAAGAAGCUAGUAUCCUCUGUAAUAACUCGUCCCUACUUUCAACUGACGAUGUUGCAUUCAAAUGAGCUCUUAACUGUUUUGCUAGUUCCAUACCUUGGACUAGCUCAGCAAUCAAAGUCUGUUGCUCCCAGCACAAACCACUCUCCAUUUUGUAUACCUCCCUUAAAAGUUACCACAAGCAACACAAUUAUGCUUCUUGCUAGCUCUAAAAUGCUAAAACUUGUUGUCCAGCAAAGCAGUAUUAGCACAUUUUCUACACCUGUAACAUUUGGUUGCUUAGAAGCAAAAACUUUCCUCCUAGCAGGAAAAGUAAGAAGAGCAGAAGAUUCUGGAAUGACCAAGAUGGUAUAGAGCUAGAAGCUAAAAACAUAGAAGUAGCCAGAACUAGAAUUAAUUUUUUCUGUGUACUGGUGAAAAGAGGUAAGGAUGUAUAUAUCUGUAAAUGAGUGAAGCUUUAGCUGAGGAAGCUUUGUAUUUAAAGAGAAAAGCGGAGGUUUGGAAUGAGGAUGAGAAAAACUGAAGGGAGAGAGAGGUAUAUAUAGAUUGGAAGGUAGAAAGUUUGAAGUUUGACUGAGAAAACGAGUUUUUCAGCUUAGACUAGUCUCUGGUCAUAAGAGAAGACAGAAAAGAGAGUGUGUGUGCGUAAAAUAGUAUGUGGAGGUCCAAGUGCUGACCAAUUCUACCCUUCAAACACUUCGAAGAAAAGGGUCUCUUUACUUUCCAUUGGUUUGUGGCUUUGUGCUUUAGGGAAUGAAUGGAUGAUUGAAGUGUAGACUCAGUUAGAAACUACCAAAAGUCAAAGUCCAAGCUACGAGGGAAGAGUGGACAAAGAAUUUUCAACCCCAUUCCGCGUCAUCUGUUUAAUAUUUAGUAGGUCCAAAGUACUGGAGAUCCCGAGUGCUGUAUCUAUAUAUAUAUUCUCUCCAAAACUAACAUUUAAGUUGGUUUUUUAGCUGCUGGUUUAGCUAUUCUUUCUGUUUGAUAUUGUGAUAUGUGAUGUUUCUUCAUGUAUCUAUAAAUAUAUACUUGUAAUUGUCAUUAAAUCAUGAUCUGCAGAAAAAUAUAUCAGAGUAAAAACUCUAACCCUACUUCUCUCUAAUAUAUUAGGUCUAAUCCAGCGAAGCAUUGGUGGAUUAGAAAAGGUGGGAUAAGCUUAAACAGUGUAUUGUUUUUUCUCUUGUCCAUAUGUGUAUUUCCUGUGAACGCGUUUUUGGUGGAAAAUAAUAAAAUGCAUUAUCCAAAGACUCCAUGGCCCCAAGAUGUUUUCUGAUUGCCAAGAAGAGAUCAGCAUCGUUAAAUUAUAAAUCAAUCCUUCUGAUUUAUCAAAAUAAAUUAAUAACUCCCUCUACUUUAAGAAAUCAUUUAAUAGUUCAUUGGCUGUUAAACAGAUUUGUUAGUUUUAUUAUCAAUACCCAAAACUACCUCUUAAUUCUUGGAUAACUAUCGACUGAAACCAGUUGUUAAUGUACAGUGAUUAAAAUAUAAGGGAUUAACUGUAAUAUUGUAAAAUUACAAGGAGUUUGUUGCACAAUUUGUAAGAAUUAAGGACUGCAUGAUAACUCUUACUACAAGUUCCAGCAGCCUUCUUCUUCCUUGGGCUGCUGCUGUUCAGGAUCAAAUCACCACCCCUCCAGCCUCAAAACCACGCCAAAUCAUCAUCAGAUCAAUUAUUUUCGUCUUCCGAACAAUGCUGCAAUAGUGAAAAAAGAUUUAAAAGCUCAAAUUAAACAUAAAAAUUUAAGAUUUUCAAGUUUUAAAACAUGUAAAUUAACUAGUUUUUAGGUACAAAUUUGAUAUUAAUGAACUCUUGAAGAUGAAGAGCUUAAUUUGAUUGUGGUUUUUCCUUUGGUGGUGAAUAGAUGAUUAAGAACUAAUUGUAUCUCUCUUUUCUUUCUCUUUGUUUUUUCUUUGUUGAGUUGUUGCUGUGAUGAUGGAGCAAAGAGAAGAGGAAGGAAGAAGAAGCAGAGGGAAAGGAGAGGAGAAAAGAAAGGAGAGAAAGGCAAAGGAAAAGAUAAAGAGAGAAAAUGAUAAAAAAAAUUUUGUGUUUGGUAUUUUGUUUAAAGUAUUUUUUAUUUAAAAAUAUAUUAAAAUAAUUUAUAUAUAUUAAUAUUAACAUAUUAAAAUCAUAAAAAAAAAAACACAAAAAAUACAUUUAAAAACAAAAACCAUUUAACUUCCAAACACUCACAUGUGUUUUUGAACAACAAACCAAUAGAAUGGUAAGUCAACCUAAUGAAAAAAAUAAAAUAAAAGUUAAUAAUAAAUUAGUACCUAUAUUUUUUUUAAAAUGAAUUAUUUAGUCCCUUUAUUAUGAAAAAUAAUUAAAUAAUUUUUAUGUUGUUUCGUCAACAAUACAGUCCCUUGUCAAUUCUUUGUUAAUAAAUUGAGAAGCUGUGUGCAUUCGAAUCACGGUAGGCUUGUCCCAGACAGGCUUUUUUUCGAAUGGGUAAUGGCCGAACUAUAGAUAUGAGUGGCUCUCCUCUUUUUUUUUUUUUUUUUUUUUUUUGAAGCACCAGUCUUUAUAUAUAUUUACUGGAGUGGUGACUAAUGUUAUGUUGUGGGCUGAGUUUUUUUAAAAACAAAUUGAAUAAAAAUGUUUAGAUGAUGAGCUUGAUUGUUACUUAAUUCAGAAUAUAGGAUUGAAAUAAUUAUGUAAAAAUAAUUAUAAAAUUUAAGGUCUAAUAAUUAAAUGUCAAAAGAUAAAAGUAAAAAUAAUCAAUUUUAAAAAAAAUAUAUUGAAGAAAAAAACCCAAGUCAAUCCGGGUUAACCUUACGAACUCACCAAACAGGAUAUGAGAUUGGAAUUAAAAAAAUAAAUUUUAAAAAAGAUCUAGAAAAAAAAACCGAAGUUAAAUCAAUAAAAACAAUGAAAAUACCUCGAGCCAACACGUAUUAACUUGACUAACCUGAACCCAAAAUAACCCCGCAUAAAAAAAAAGUGAAAAAAAUCACAAAGCUUAAAAAUUAAUAAUUUAAUAUCAAAUGAUAAAAUUGAAAAAAAAAACCCGAGUAAACCCAAACUAACUCAAUUAACCCGCGAUCAAAGAUAUGAGAUAGGGAUAACUCAAUUAAAAAAAAAAGUAAAACAAAUCAUGAAGCUCAUAGGCCACAAUAACUCAAUGUUGAAUAAUAAAAAUAAUAAUUUUUAAAAAGAUCUUAAAAAAUAUUGAACUGAGUUAAUCUUCGAAAUCAGUGGACCAAGUUAUGAGACCGAAAUUACUUUGUAGAAGACAAAUAUGAAAAAAUUAUAAAGUAAAAUUCUCAAUCAUAAAAAAUUAAAAAUCAAAAUAAAUAAAAAUAAAAACAAUAAGGACUAAAUCUUGUUAAAAAAUAAUUGAAAUAAAAUAAUUAAAAAUUAAAUUGAAAAACAAAAAAAAUCAAGAAAUGAAUAAAAAAAUAAAAAAAAUCAAAAUUAGAAACAAAAUCUUUUAGGAUGUGCGUGCAGAGUUAACUAGGAGGGAGAGAGUACAGGGAAAAAAAAAAGAUUUUGUUUUCCCAAGAUAGAACAAUUCUUUUACCUCUAAAUUCUAAUAACUCAUCAGAUGAUUUGGUUGUUCAUGGCAUCGAAACUAGCUGUGUGAUGACAUUGCAGCGGUUGUUCCAUGUCAACUGGAUAUUUCUUGAACUUUUUACGGUUUCAAAUUUUGCGCUAAUUUUAAUGGAUUUUUUACUUUUAAUUUUAAUUAUAUAAUAAAAAAUAAUACUAACUCAAAAUCAAUCUAAUAUUAAAAAAUAAAUAAUAAAAAUUGAUCAAAAACCCAAUGUUAAUUUUUUUUAAAAUAAGAGCUAGAUGAGUGAGUUUGAGUGGCUCGGCGUAUCAAGGAUUUAAAGAAAAAACUCAGACACGUGGACCUAGGUUAGACUUGUGCUCCAUAGCUAUUUAUAUUUAUUUAUAUAUAUAUAUAAAAUAGACAGCAUUCUAUUUAUUUUUUUUAAAAAAAUAAAUAGUUGACUUGUCGCGUGCUAUUACCUUACUUAGAAUUUAACCACUGCUAUAGUGGUUGAAAAAUUACUAAACAAUGUUUAUGAGUUAUUUUUCAAUAUAUUUUCAUCAAAUAUAUAUAAUAAACAUAGUAAAAACCUUCCUAAAUAAAAAAAAAAAACCCCAAAAUCACUCAAGAAAUCAAAAUUCAAUUGAACCCAUAAAAUUAAAAGGGAACUUGAUCUCAUUUUCCAUGCAUGUUGAUAGGAAAAGCUCAUCAUCAUCAAACUUUUCUCAUCGAAUGAAGUUUAUAUACACCAAACUAGAUCAUUUUUGUUGCUAGUAUCACGAUAACCAACUAUUUUUUUUUUUUUAUCUCUUUUGUUGUUUUCCAACAACUUUUUGUCUUUUUUUUUCUAACUUAUGGAUCGGAAAAAUAAACCAGAAAAAUAAAUAAAAAUAAAUUUUUGGAUCAAAAUAAAACUUGUUGUAAAUUAGGGGUGAGCAAUGUAUUUUUUCCGCUAUAUGCAUCUCAAUCUUCUAUAAUUAAUUUUAUAUUUUUACUAUAAUUUAUAACCUAAUUUCAUAUAAUUAGACUAUAAAAAGAUGCAAUUAAAGGGAAAUUUAAAAAAAAAACUAUGCAAGAAGUUCACUUUUCUUCAUAUAAACAGUGACAGCUCUCCAGUUUUUUUUUAGUUUUUGUUAAUAAUCAUAGGCUGGUUAUGAAAAACCUCUGCUUGAACUUAGGAUCAGAACGAAACACAAUGACUUGUGCGUUUUGGAGACGAUGUUUUUCACGGCUUAAUUAAUUUUUUUUUUUUAACUCCAAUGAUUCAAAAGUCGAAUCAAAUCGUGAUAGGUAAUAUCUAAAUCGAAAAAAAAAAAAUUCAACUUAAAUAAUUGGUAUAUUUAUAUUAGAUCAGGGCUCCAGUAGAUUUUAAUUUUACAAUUAAUUGGUAUGGUGAUAGCUCCACUAAGCGAAUCGAGUAAUCAAAAAGCCUAGACUAGUCUAGAGUUUCUCAAAUGGGAUCCCAACAGGGCUUCAUGCUAAGUUUUUCAUUUCUCUGAAAAGAUUAUUUCCUUUGCUUCUGGUGUGACUAUACAGUUAGUGGACAUUCAAGGGCAGAGUUUUCUAGCUAGCGUUGAGCUUAGAUUCCAAAUUUCCGUCCUCGAUUCAAUAAAUUUGUCUGAUGGGGAACAAUACUGCCAUAUGGACGUGACAUUAACCAAAACAUAGAUAUGGAAUUUAUUCAUCAAGAAAUGGGCAUAAAAAAUGGCAAUGCUCUGCAUUUUUUCCCCACAGAGAGAAUAUGUGCUGUCUAUACCCCAUAAUGCAAAAGCAGAUUCAAAGCAGCAUAAAGUGAAAGAAUCCCACUCACUCCAUGCCUAUAUAUACGUGCUUCAGAAUUGCCUUCUAGCACCAAGCGAACAGAAAGAGAGCCUCAAGAGAAGUCUUACACUAAAACCAACAAGCCCUCUUUGCCCAACUUGCAAUGGCCUCGUGUCAGUGCUCCAAACCCGUUGAGCAUCCAUGCAACCAAGACCAGAAAAGCCACUCAUCGGGCCAAAAGGUAGAGAAACAGGCUGAAGGUGGAGUCGUCAAGACCGGGACUCGCAGCUCAAGCCAAAGCCAUUCCCCUGGAAGCACUAAUGGCAUGACCCCUGCUCCGGCAUGCAAUGCAAACAAGAGAGGUGAGCGCAAGAAGGGUCUGUUCCAAAGGAUCAAGGAUGGCAUCUCAGGCCAUAGUGAUGGAGGCGGCAGCAGCAGCAGCAGCGAGAGCGAGAGCGAUGAUGAGAAAUGUGGUAAACGAAAGGCAAGUACUGUUCCUAUUAUUUUGUUAACAAAUAUAUAUUGGCACUCACGCAUGAGACCGCACGGGCAUACAUACUAACAUGUAUAAGUUUCUUUGAUACUCUGCAGAAUUGAUGGGCAAAAUCAGAUAUUGAUGGUUUCCCCAUAUCUACAAGGAAAUAAAGAGAUGCCAUAUGGGAUAUGGUGAUUACUUUAGAAAGGAAUAAAGUGGCUUCACGUACGAUAAUCAUGAUGUAAUCUUAUACUAUUAUUAUUAUUAUAUGAAUAAAAGGACAAGUCAUGAUUAAAUAUGCGGGCUUGCUUCUAAUAAUCAAUCUGAGCACAGUAUUGCUUGAUCUAUGACCAGAAGAAUAAUCCGCCCGUACCAAGAUAGCAUAAGCAGAGAAUAAAAUGAACCGUUGAGGCCUCGAGGCUAGACGGAAGAGACACUGGGUUUGAGUCUCAGCAUGCAUGCAUGUUAUUCCUGUGGUGUCUUACCUGUUUAUUGGGCUUGCAGGGUGUUCAGUGAAUCUGGGAAUUAGUUGUGGUGCGCGUAAGCUGACCCGGACACCCCGGAUUAAAAAAAAAAAAAUGAAGCGUUGAGUUUUUUAAAAAUGGUCGCAAACAAGAGAUUUUGCAACAAAUGCACCACAACACUUAGCUAGCUAGAAGUUCUAAUGGCCAAACAACGUGGUUCUUACAACAAUUUAUGCAUAUUCACUGACCCCUCUGAGCAAGCCCAUGUUUUCUCAUCCAACGGCAGAGAAACAAGCAUUGGCACAAUUUUGGCCUUCAUUAAUGUUAAUAAAAUUUAUCCUCUAGCAUACAAAUAACUACAGAUAUCUUGGGAUAAUUAAAAUCUAGACCAGCCCUGUUUCCACCAAUCCUAAGCCCAAGUCUGUAUGAGAAAUGGCCGACGCCACGACCAAGCCCAUGGAAUGGUCUAAAUCGGUAGAAAGGCAUCUAACCAUUUUUGUUCUUUGAUUGGGAGCUAGAGAGGAAUAAAUAUUGCUCUAGAAGGUCGAGUAUAUUAGUGUUCCUAGCUAUGGCAGCAGCAAUUGAGAGAGAGAUUGAUUAUACUAAUAAAAAUAAAUAAAACAAUCACUUCUUUUCAUCCCAGAUGAAUUUCAAGCGGUCUUGUUGAGUCUUUAAUGAUUACUUAGUUUCAAGUUAGAAAUAGGUCCAAAUGAAUGUUGAAGUGGGCGAGAGUUAUAAAACAGAUUACAAAUCUAUAAUUUGGCAGCAAUUAUUUUGUUUCUUAAAUUAGUUAUAUCUGGGAUUUACAUUUAGGUCAAAUUUUGAAUGAAAAAUGCUUUUUACAUGAUAGAUGCGAUAAAUGACUGGUUGAACAUAAAAAUAAUAAUUGCUGCAUGCUUGUAUGAUUUAUUUGUAAAUAUAGCAUUGCUAUUUUCGAAUUUGUCUUGGUAUUUAUGUUCGAUUGCUACGGCCCUUUGCCAAGAAAUUAUAAGAUCUGAUGGAAACUCAUUCAUGAUACAAACUGGAUCUUACCAUUUCCGAUCCAACAAUUAAAUGCCCAAGGUAUAAACCCUAAAGCAACGAGGAUAUAUGAAGACACCACCAUUGCCGGUGGGAGAGAAUUCAGGAGCUUUUCUUCAUCCUAUCAGCCCGUCACAGAAUACUGGGCCAGAUCUAGACUCUGUAGACAUGAUGCAGCUCAAGUCACAAUCUGUUCUCAGCUUCAUUAUUUGAGACCUUAUAUAGUUAAUACUAUAUUUAACCAAACAAGGCAUCAACAGCUUCUGUUAAGGAAGGCGCCCUAGGUUAGAAGUGAAUUUAGACAACUAACCAUACAAGACAAAACCAAACAAGGCAUCAACAGCUUCUGUUAAGGAAGACGCCCUAGGUUAGAAGUGAAUUUAGACAACUAACCAUACAAGACAAAACCAAACAACUGCAUCGAAUUUAAACUAUCUUUAUAUCAUUUAGUAUAUGUUCGGAUUCUCUAAAGGACACAGAAAUAUUAGUUUAAACGGCACACAAUUUGGUUCCCAUCAACAUUUUCUGUGCAACUUGGAUAUGGGAGCAUCUAUUCCCUUCUCAGGUCCAAUAAAAGGCGGAAACUGUAUUCUCUCUCUGUAAUGGAGAUGUUAAUUGUCGAUUCAUCGUGCAAAAAGCAUAUUCAAAGGGUGAUAAAUAAUCACUUGGAAUCCCACUUGCCCCAUGCCUAUUUAUUUAUACGUUUCUGCAAUGACAUAUAAAUAUAUGAGUGCCAGAAACAACCAAGAAGGCUAAGGAAAUAUACAUACCUUGAUGACAAAACUCUCAACAAUAUUAUAAUCUGUGUCCGACGCAUGUGUGCCUCUAAUGUCUUCGUUUUCCCCCCUUUCUUAUUUCUUUCUUUUUUACUAGGAAGAACUAUUAAAUAUAUAUAAUUACCAAUUGAUAACGAUAAACUUCACAUAAAAAAUAUCGGGCCUUCCAUGGUCUACUAUGAAAUUGGAUCUAUGAGCUGGAAGUUUCUAAAAAAUUAAGUCCCUCAUAGAACAAAAAACUAUUCAAUACUAAAAUUAGUACUUGUGGAGAAGAAAAAGAUGAUGUAUAGAAAAAGAAAAGUAAAAGCAUGUUAUGUGUGUAUCUAGGUUUAGUCUUUGUCUGGCUCUAUCCAAAGUUGGUCUCUACUUGGUGAGACCGAGUAUAUUUAUACACCUAGCUUAGAAUUUCUACAUGGAUAAGAAAAUCAUUGCAUUUGCCACCCAAGAUGGUUCAUCCAUUGAUACGAGCGCGCAGUUAUGAGUUUUGUGCUUGGUACAUGAUUGGAGGAGAAGUUAAUGUAUUAGAGUGAUUGAGUUUAUUUAUUUUUAUUGGCCUUCACGAAGGCUAGAAGUAGGUGUACUAGAAGGGUAACUAUUGGUGAUGGAACACAAUGUAUGUCUUGCAAAUAUUGUGUGUGCAAGACAUAAAAAAUGUGUGCUAUAUGUGAAAUUGUCAAAUAAUUAUUCAUAAAAUAGUAGGGGUGAGUAAAAAAAUUUUAAAAAUAGAAAAACAAAUAAUCGAAAAAACCGAACCAUGAAAAAAAUCUAAUUAAACUGAUUAGAAUUUUUAAAAAACCGACUGGUUCGGUUUUAUAAGCCUGAAAUCAAAAAAAUUAACUUGAACCUAAACCGAAAAAAAACCAAGCCAAACUAAAAAAACCAAAAAAACUAGUUUUUGUUCUAAAAUAACUGAAAUCAGUUGGUUUGAACUGGUUUUAGUUCAAUUUUGGUUUUUUUUGAAAAAAAACCAGUUUGGUUAAUUUUUUUAUAUAAAAACCGAACCAAACCGAACCGAACAUAAUCGCCCCUAUAAAAUAGUAUAUAGAGGUGUGUGACAUGUAGCUUUAUUUGUUAAGAGAGAGAGAGAGAGAAAGAGGGGAAAAUGGGUUACUCGCUAGUCAGGUGACCCGCGAGGUUGGGUAGCCCAAAAAUAAGGCGACUACGUUGGUUGCCCUUACUUGGGCGACCUCGUUAGUUAGUCCUUUAGAGCAACUAGCAAGUUUGGUUGCUUAGGCUGGUCUUAGCGACUGGUAGGGCCUAAAUAAUUUUUUAAAAAAAGAAAAAACUUUGGCUUAUUAAGGAAUCCUUUUUCUAUAUAAUAUUAAUAAAAAACACUAAAAGAUGAGGGAUUUCAUUGUACCAUUUUUUUACAAAGCACUAUUCAUUGGAAUAAUGCUUUGUUUUUGUUAUUUUUGCUUUUUUUCCAAUCAAUGCUUCUUUUUUUUCAUUUUCAUUCUUCAAUAUUAGAUUUGUUUUUUAAGAGAUUUUACUGUAUUCUUCUCACAAAACACUAUUAGAAUAGUGCUUUUUUUUUUCUUUUGAUAUAUUUUUUUCAAUCAAUGUUUUAUUUUAAUUUCAUUCUUUAAUAUUGAUUUACUUUUAGGGAUUUUAUUUUACCUCUCCUCAUAAAUCAUCAUUUCAGUUUCAGCCUUCAAUAUUGAAUUUGCUUUUUACGGGAUUUUAUUGUACCUCUCCUCAUAAAGCACUAUUAGAAUAAUGCUUUGUUUUUUUUUUCUUUGAUUUUUUUUUCGAGUUAUUUUUUUUUAAUUUCAUUCUUCAAUAUUAGAUUUACUUUUUAUGGGAUUUUAUUGUACUUCUCCUCACAAAAUACUAUUCAUUGGAAUAGUGCUUUGUUUUUUUUCAAUCAAUUCCUUUUUUUUUUCAAAUUCAUCCUUCAAUAUUGGAUUUGAUUUUUAUUGGGUUAUCCCAAUCUCAGGAAAACAAAUUACAGGUUUGGCGGGUUAACUCGAUUGACUGAGUUUUUUUUUCUUUUUUUUAAUUUAUUUUUUCCUAAUCUCAUCAUUUAAUAUUGGGUUGAUUGAGAAUUAAGUUUCAUGAUUAGUUUUGAUUUACUUUCUAUUAGAUUAUCUUAGCCUUAUGUCCCAGGGAUAGUGUUUAACGAGUUAAACCAAGUUGACUCAUGUUAUUUUUUAUGUCCUUUUUUUAAUUGAUUUUUUCCAAUUCAGCAUUCAACAUUGAGUUGGUUGGGAAUUGAUCAGUUUCAUAAUUUAUUUUGAUUUAUUUUUCAUGAGAUUAACUUGGUUUCAUGAAAUAAACAACAAAAUAAUCCACCGACAAUUAAGGUGCAUUUCUGAUAAAAUAGGUGAUGGAAUAUUCUGUCGGCAAUUAAGGUUGCCGACGGAAUUUUUGAUGGCAAAUGGACAGUAAAAUCUAAAUUUUUAUGUGUAAAUAUAUUGUUGGCAAUACCAUCAAAAAAAGGAAGUUCCGAAGGAAUCAACGACGAAAAAAAAUUCCCAACAAGCAUCUUGACGACAACAUGUUUCUAUCAGCAAUUCUAUCGGUAUCGUAAUUGUCGACAAAAGUUUUUCAUGGAAUAUUCCAUCAUCUUUUUUCAAUUUUCUGGUGGUAAUAUAUGAUACGGUGAAUUUAUAGUAGGAGUUCUAAAAAAACACAUCAAUUAAACUCCACGUUUCUACUGUUAUCCUUGUAAUUCUACGUUAAACGAAUCAAUUUUUAAAGGCUAGUUGGGUAGGUGCUGGGGAGGAAAGAUUCCACCCUUGGAGAGCUAAAAUAGGUCAAUGAAAAACACACAUUUGCUACCGGCAGGGUGAUUCAAGAACAAGAUAGAAUUUUAAGCCUAAAUGACUGAAGGGCAUUGACCAUAAACAAGUACUGGAGUAGAAAAUAGAGUCCCCACUCGUGCUGAAGCCAAUUACCAAACAUGUGAUAGCAGUACCAUAUAUAUGACUGUUGUGUCAGCUGGCUUUUCAUUUAACUUUGUUGAAAGUUGGAGCCAUUUUCAAGUAUGUUUGCCUUUUCCUUUACAGAAAAAGGGAGACGGAGAGGGAGACCCAAUCCCCUAGCUACUCUACAUAUGAAUAUAUUGAAUAGUAUAACCUGUCCUAUCCCAUCCAACGUGCAUUAUAGGAGCCUGUCUACCUUUUUGUCACUCACAUUUGUUUGUAUGUUGCAGGGAGGCAAAGAUAAUUUUGAGGGGCUUGCGGUAGGACAACUUCAAGUCUUCAAUGCAAAUACAUGAAUCCCCAGUAGCAGUAAAAUCAAGAUUAAAUUGAAGUAGUUUUGAAGCACAUAAAAAUAAGUUUUUCCUGCAUUCAUUUUUAUAUCACUGAUCUUCCAAAACUUAAUACAUUAUAUAUAGAUCCCAAUACUUGCAGUACUACUGCCUGGUCAUCAUUAAUGAAGAUGUCCCAUCUAGCUAACGAGAAAACAGGAUUCCUGAGAUAACAUCCUGCUAUCACUUAACACAUAUCUCUCUGGUAUUCACCAGUAUUAUUAUUAUUAUUAUUAUUAUUAUUAUUAUAUAUGAUUAUUAUCAUUUUUUUUGGUUUUUUGAGAUCAUAAGUAACCCCAGAGAAAAUAUCUCAACCUCCAUGUACACGAAUGAGUUUAUAAACUCAUGUGACACCAAAUCUACCACAGCUCUUUCCUGGGUAGUGGAUACCCUAGCUUCUAGCUUCUUAAUAAUUAAUUCGGAAAUUCUUGAUUCUUCUCCACAACUCUCACCCCAUUAGUAGAUCUAAGCGCAUUUGCCUGUUUUGAGUAGAGAAAAACAAACAAGAGAGAAAAUGAGAAGCGAGUGUUUUGGACAAAUACUCAUUAAACAAACUACAUGUUGCAUAAAAGUCACCUGGUCUUCAGUGAUUUCUACUGCAAAACCAUCAACAAUGAUCAAAGAUAUUGUCUUCUUGUAGCUGCCAUGCGCAAGGGUGUUUGCCAAUAACUCAUCAUGCUUCCUGCUCAGAUACAUGUCGAGCUCAUAUGCUCCUCUCUUUGUCCUGUGAUACACCAACAAGAAAAAGUUUAAUGUUAGAUAGCUAGCUAGAGAUCCAAAGAAUGAUACAAUGCAUCUUAUAAUUAACAUUUUCUAACUAAUAAUGUCAUGAUGACUGACCGAUCAUUUCGAAUGCGCUCAUAUUCAGGAUCAUAGUCCAUGAAAACAAAAUAUCUCUCCCUUUCUUUACUCCCCAUUUCCUCUGCUUUCUUUGAUCAUAUGAUGCCUUUCAGCGAUCCAUACCUGGUAGCUAUUUAUAUAGAGUUUCCGGCUUACUUUGGAGUCAAAAGAGAGGUUCACCUUUUUUUCUUAUUGUGACGAAAAAAUAUUCACCAGAGGAUAAAAUAACAGUAGUGAUUUCUUAGUCCUUCUAGUCUUAAAUAUUUUUUAUCUAGCAGUAACUUUCAUCUUUUUUCUUUUAGACUCGAAUGAUUCAAUAGGAUUUGAAGAUCUGAAUUUAUAACGUGACCCUACCUGCUCUAGUGCUAGAUAAUGCUUAAUUAACAUCUUGACUAAGGAAGCACCGUCAUUUGAUUCGCAUUUGGAUCGAAGUUCCCGUCUAGGGUUAGUGGCACCAGUUAAAAAAAAAAAAAAAAAACUUGUGGAAGACAAGUGAUCAGUUCAUGCUACUUUAAUUAACUACUUUAAUAAUUUAAUCAAUUAUAUAUACUCUAAUGAACAACUCUAGAGGGGCUCAAUCAUAAAUUAUAUGCUCUCCGCCUCGUCAAAUGGGAUUUAACUCCAGAAGCCAGGUCAUGAGGACGUCUUUUCUCAUGAGUUUUAACUUGUUUUACUUUACAAAGGGCUUGUCUUCAUCAAAAUAAGAAGGUUGGAUUUAAUCUUGAUAAACACAGUCGCGUCUGUGAACUGAUAUCUCUUGGUAUACAUGGGAGAGAUAAUAUAUGGUGAACGCAGGAAAAGAUUGUGUUCCAUCCGAGCUGUUGUUUCAUGGAAAUAGUAGCAAUUUGGCUGAUACUCACGACAAGUGUGACCUUUUAAUUAUUUGGUUGACAGACAAGAGCUACUGUUUGACAAGAGGCACUAAGGAUACAUGCAUACACCAAAAAUUCAAAAGAAAAGGUGAUAUGAGACUGAUACCUAUAAAGAGAAGCAUACGGCCAUUUAAUCUUCUCCUUCAUUUACCAAUCAUUUUUUACAUGGGAGCGGAGAUCGAUCCAGCAGUCAAGACCCGAUCAUCCAGUCAAAUAAAUAUUUUCCACCACAUGGGUGCUCAUUAUAUCCAAGUACAUCAUGCCACUGCUCCAGCCUCAAGCCUAGAUAGAUCAUGUUUUUCUAAUCAAUCCUACUGUUUGUUAUAAAUGACACUAGGAUGCCCUGCUAUUUUCGAAGCUACAAUGAUGGCCCCCUCUUUGAAUAUUGAAUUUUUUUGGUCUGUGAAUAGUUUGUGUGGGGAAUUAUCACACACGUAUAGUACUGUAUAAGAGUUUAAAAGAAAAGAUGAGGAAAAAAUAAGAAAGAAAGAAGGGUAGAGAAGAUGAGGUUUCUUUUAGUUUCAGAUACUAUUUGAUGAUCAUGGAUGAUGCAUCUGGACUUCUGAGAAAUUUAGGGUUAGAGUUGAAGGGAAACAUUUCUACAUUUAGAGGGAUUAAACUAAUUUAUAGGAUCCUCAGCCCUCUUCAAACCCAUCUUAUUUCCUUACCGGAAAAAAAAACAACAGGAAAAGAAAAAACAAAUACCAAAUCAAAAGAAUUGCACAGCUCAUUAACUUUCCAUUCCAUUGAUUUCGAAAGGGUCGUGUUCCCUUUGGAGCAAAUAUUUACAAGGAUAUUGUGGUACGUACAUCAACUUCAGUUUGUAAUUGUAUACUACAUAGUCUUGGGAUUAAAAGAAAAUCCAUCCUUAAUGCCCUGACUAUAUAUGAAUUGCGUCAGCUUAAACACCUCCAUUUUCAAGAAGUCAAAAAAAAAAAAAAAAACACCCAACCUAGACCAAGUAAUAAGCUGGCUAAGAAGUACGGAUACGAUAUUUUAGAAUUACCGAAACUAUUUUUACAGUUUUAAAUUUUGCAGUUGACUCGCGCUUUGUGGUGGGUUGGAUAAUUCGUUUUUGCAAAAAAAUAAAUAUGUAAGUUUUUUUUCCCCCUCAAGGAAAGCUACAGUGAUCCCUACGAGUAGGUACAGAUUCCAUGUACAGUCUGCAACAAUAUGUGGUGGGCCACCACCAUCUGAACCUCCAUGUGUCAAAGAGAUAUGGUUGGAAGGUAGGGGACGACCGCUGGAGACACAGAGGAUGCUGGGCAUGAAAGAGUGUGGGAGUACGUGUGCAGUUUUGGUUGGUAAAUAAAAUAAAGGCACUGAGGGGAGAGGAGACAGUUCUGUACGCUCGUGUGUUUGGUAUUUGACAGCUGUCAGUCACAUGGGGUCCGCUGACUUUAAUGAGGCUCUGGUCAGUAGAAGAAUCCACACGAGAAAAGCUGCAGCGCAGAGACCUAGCAACACUGAACCAAUGGGAGUGUGAUUCUCUGCCUGCUACUCCUGCUAUUCUACUGUCAACUUGCCACCUCUCAGGGCCCACAAUGCUGUCAAUGUCAUUGCCCCCCGGACCUGAUUUCAUCACUAAAUAUUGUUUUUGUAAGCUCUGUGUGUGUGUGUGUGUGUGUUAUAAAAGGUUAAGAUUUACAAACGAAGUGUUAAGAAUGUUAAAUAAUAUUAAAAGAUGAAAUAUUAAGGAUGUUUGAAGGGUCACAAUAAAAAUCAAAUCAAGUCUUAAAUUAAAUUAAAUAUGAUUAUAAGAAAUUAAAUAAUUUAUAUUUAUGGUCUAAAACAAAAUUGAAGGGGAUGAAAAAAAAAAGAAUAUAAUAGUGUUAAAUUGUAAAAAAAGGAGGUAAGGGAACAAAACUAAAAGAAAAUCCCCCCCUCCCUCCCCAAAGUUGAAACUUAACUCAAAAAUUAAAAUUUAACCUCCAUUAAAAAUUCUCCCGAACUUAAGUAAAGGCGUGAAAAAUUACAAGGGUGAGUUUUCACCCCUUCACUCUCCUACCAAGCAUGUCCUUAAAAAAAUUAAAAUAGCAAUGUUCCACUCCAAACUUUAUACACCCGAUAUUAAUUAUAUAUAUAGUUUUUAAGAAAUUUCAAUAUGAGUCUUAGUCGUUGAAGGAAAAUGAUAAAUAGCAAGAACAAAUUGAAAAGAUUGAGUCAUUAAUUGGAUCACAUAAUCUUAACAUGGGAUUCAAUGAUAGAUUAUGUAAAUCUUAAUGGUCAAGAUCACUCAUAGUUGAAUUAUUUUUCAUCUUUUAAAGAGAUUUGUGAUCAGAUACCAUCUCGUACAUGGAAAUUUGGAAAAAUUAAUAAAUAGGAGAAAAACAAGAAAAAAUGAAAGAAAAAUAAAUAAGGAAAGGGCAUUCCUUUAAUUAAUUCAGUAUCUAUAUAUAUAUUUAAUGACUACGUACGGAUGACAUGGCAACUUUUUUCAAUAUUUGAACAUUUUAGACUAAGUUUAGACAAAUGAGAAUUCCAACUAGUAGAGAGACAAAAUUAUGUCUAAGCAAACUAUGCAGAUUUUGUCAUCUUUAACAGUUGAUGAUCGAUCUGAUUUAGAGUAGAGAACUAUUGAAUGUACCGACCAGAGAGCAAGUUGAUUAAUUUUUAUUAAGGAUUUUGUCUUCUCGAGCUAAUAAUUAGCUUUUCAAUAUAUAUAUAUAUGUAUUGUAUUGUAUUGUAUUGUGUGUUGUAUUGUACUCUUGUAUUUGACGUAUUCCUCUGUCUUUGGUUUUGUUUCAGGCUUUCAGGGCUAAUUAACUUGCAAAUUCCUUUUUUAUUAUAUUAUGUCUCAUCUUCUCUCCAACAGAAAAUGUUUGUUAUUUUAGCUUAGACAGUGAUUUUUUUAUUUUAUUUUAUUUAUUUUAUUAUGAGCAUGUAUACAUGUAAAACACAAUUUUAUUUUAUUUUCUUACAUAUUCAUAUGUAGAAGUAAAGUAGACAUAUAUAAAGAUUAAAAAUAUACUUCAGAAAUUAGAAUUACAAGUAAACUACAUUAAUAACAUAACCUUGUCACUUGUUGUAGCUAGUAAGAACAAUGCCUAAAAUAAGGAAACAAAUAUGUGAGUACUGAUUAAAAUCUACAAAUAAUAUUUAGUCAAUCUUUUUCUUAUAUAUAUAUAAUAUCGAUUUUAGGAACAAUAGAGAGUAUCUUUAAUCAUAAUAUCCGGCAAAGUCUUAGCAAUAACAGACAGUGAUGCAUGAAAACAACAUGAAGUUAGGGUUUUUGUUUCGGCUUCUCACAAUUGAAACCUUUAUUUUAUUUAAAUAAUUUAAAUGAAAUCUCAAGAUAUAAUUUAUAUUAUUUUCUAAUAUAUCUUCUUAAGUGAAAACCUUUAAAUUUUAAACUUAUAAAAGUUUAUAUUACCUUGUGUUUAUUUUUUAUCAAAUAGAUAUGAUGAGAUUCAAACUCGUAAUCGUUUGAUCAUCAAAAUUCUGAUAACAUAUUAAAAAAUCAUCACAACUUAAUAAUUUAAAUUAUUAAAUAAAAUCUCAAAUAUAAUUUAAAUUUUUCUCUAAAUCAAUAAAAACAUCUCUCUGCCACCGUAAGUCAUAAUAAUCAACAAGUCUGCUUGCAUUUAUGCAGCCUCGUAGACACGCAUGCAAAUUUAUUCGUUCUAUUUUUAUAAUAAUAAUAAUAAUAAUAAAAAGAAAAAAAAACAUUUGUUUCCUUUAAAACAUUACACGUAAAGCUGCAAGCAAUUAUUCGAUCUAUUUAAUCAAAAGUACAUCUCCAAGACGCCUCAAGGUCUGUUCUAUUGGAGGCCUAGCUUCCGGCACCUUGUCUGCACAUUUCAAUGCAAUAUCCAAAACAAGCAAAGCUUGCUUCCUUUCUUUGCCCUCCACAAUAAAUUCAAAAAACUCGAUAUCACCUUUCUUUAUCUCUUCCAUUCUUUCCAUUACGCCAUUCCUGAAAUCUCUAACUCUUGGCCCUCCUAGCAUGUCCAGCAAUAAAAUACCAAAGUUGAGAAUAUCACUUUUCUGACUCAAUUUGUUGGUGUAAGGACUUUCAGGCGAGGGGGGCGGCUUUCUUUGCCAAGUAUCGGAAACUUCCUCCAGUUCUCCAGCCAGUUGAGUGAGGCCGUAAUCGGACAAGCGGGCGGUGAAGUUAACAGUUAUCAUGACAUUGGAGGAUUUUAUGUUCCCGUGCACGUUCAUCAGCAUGUUCUUUUCAUACGGAGGGUAUUGUGUGUGAAUAAAUGUAAUUGCUUGUGCAAUGUCUAGAGCUAUUCUUAGCCUUUGAUUCCAAUCCAAGGCAGUGUGACCGCAUUCCCUUCCACCUCAAUUAGUCAACAAAUAGGGCAUAAAAACAGAUUCAGUUCACAGAUAUUUCUCUCUUCAAAGCAUCAAGUCCAAUUUUUCCAGAAGGAAUUUUUAUCCUAGGCAAUUCAAAAAUAGCCUGAGUCUUUUGAAGUUUGAACCGAAGUAAUUAUCUCUUUCGAAUAAAAAAAUUUUUAUAUAAAAUCUCAGAAUUAUACAUGAACUAAUGUGGCAAGUGUUGUAUACAUGAUCGUAACUCUUCGUAUGAGUGGGACAAUAUCAUUAAUUUGCAUCAAAUUAAAUGCUCUCUUGUAGCUGUAAAAUUUUUCUUCAUGAUUUUUUUUUUCUUUUGUAUAGUCUUAAUUAUCGUAUUUCAUAAUGUUCUGUUGAUGUUGUUUAAAAAAAAAUCCAAUUUCUAUCAAUUAAGAUAAAUGAAGAUUAUUCUAAAGAAAAAAAAGAAAAGGAAAGGAAAAUUAAUUCCCAUGAAAUUCAUCACUAUCAUGAUGUGGCUUAAUUUUCUCUUAUAAUCACCCUGGCAUGAUCACUUUAGGCAUCAAGCAAUCAUUACUCAUUGAAAAAACAAUUUCAAAAGAAAAAGGAAUAAAUAUAUGUAUAAAGUAUUGAGCUAUAUAUUGUAAAGGUGUUUGUAAACUCACCAGCGAGCAAGUCAGCAAGGCUUCCCAUGGGGAAAUAAUCAGAGACAACAAACUUGAUCCUCUUUGUGUAUAGGUAAGCAAUGACAGGGACAAGAUAUUCACACCUCUUGCUCACCUGAGCUAACCUCUCGAUUCUCUUACCAAACUCACGCCUCCUAACACGCAAUGCCCUAAACCUCUUCAGUGCAUAAACUUUGCCUCGUAACAAAACCACCUUUUCAGUCAUCCCUAAAGGGCUCUCUCCCAUGACACCAACAGAAGCCCUUAAGGUCUCCCUUAAGCUCAGGCGGGACACACUUUCUCCACAAAAAAACAAAGGCCGAUCAUCCAUGAACCCUACUAGGCAAUCUUCAGAAUCUAGCAUCGACGUCCCUGAUUUGCUUUCAUUAUCUCCGUGUUUAGGGCUCUUUUUGGGCUUGGUAAAGGCUCUCGAUAACAUUCUUUUGAGACUUCGAGAGGUUUGUGAAGAAAAUGUGUGGUUUUCUUUGGUUUAAGCUGGUUUCUCUUCCGACUAGUUUGACAAUAUUGGUUAUUUUUAUAGAAAAUAUCGAGUCUAGGGUGCUGGCACUUUGUUUUCUUUUUAUGGUCCAAAAAUUGAAUCUUGAGGAAAAUUCUUCAAUAAGUUUUGAUUCGUUAAACCGGCUUUGGGGAGAACAUUAUAUAAUCUUGUCACUAAAAUUUUUAUUGGCUAUGAUGGCUUUGGGGACGUCUUUAUAAUUUGUUUGGUGUGGACUUGUAUCGAGUGCAGCUAGAUCCAUGGAGUCUUUUCCUAUCACUGAAUUCAUCACGGCUGGAAAUUAAAAAAGUAUUUGCACGACCGUCCGAUCUGAGAGUGGAAGGGCCAAGGAGCAGCUAGGAUUCGAGGAGGAUCGGAUCAACUGGGUGUUUCUGAAAAGCAUGGCAUGUAAAUGAACCACGGGCAAAACAGGACAUGCUCAGAUCCCAGUAAUUGGGCUUUCCAAAACUUUUUUUGAAGGCCCAAGCCUGGUCAUACACUUUUUUUAAUUGGAAAAUGAACCAACUUUCCUUCUUCUUUUUUUCCUAGUUCGGCCCAGUUAAUCCAUUAGAAUUUACGGCCCAGCUAAAUUUUAGGAUUAAAAAAAAAUGAUGAUGAUGAUUAGAAUGAUUCUCCCUUUUAAAAAAAUAAUUUUUUUUGAUAGCAUGCAUCUAGACUUGAGGAUCUGAUGGAGUAAUUAGAGAUGCGUGUGUUUAUAGAGGUGAGAAAAAAAUUAAAAAAACUGAAUUGUAAAAAAAAAAAGAUUAAAAUUUUGAAAAAACUAACAGGUUCGGUUUUGGUUUUAUAAAUUUAAAACUGAAAAAACCAAAUCGAACCCAAACCGAAAAAAAACUGAGCCAAACGGAGCCAAAACCGAGCCAAAUCGGUUUAAACCGGUUUUGUCAUAAAAACCGAACCAAACCGAAACUGGCCUGUUUGAACUAGUUUUGGUUCGGUUUUGGUUUUUUUUUUUAAAUCGGUUUGGUUACUUUUUUUAUAUAAAAAUCGAACCGAACUGAAAAUAAUUACCCAUACAUACUCCACUUUUUAAAAUUUUAAAAUUUAAAUUCUAGAGUCAAUAAGUAAAUGGAUUUUUUUAAAAUUAUUUUUAAACGCGUAGGUUAACAAGGAAGCAUACUCUUAAGAUAGUUUGAGAAAGGAAAUUGAUUUUUUUAGUUUAACGUGGGUGUCCGGGCCAGCUUGUGCGCACCUCGACUAAUUCCACUGGCCCUAAAGUUAACGACCAUGUAAGCCUCCAGUGGCCAUCAUAUGAGCAACCACAGGGCUCGAACUUGAGUCCACAGAGGAAGCAAACAUCUUGGUCCCAAACUUUUACCACUGAGCCAUCACCUAGAUAAUUAUCUAAUUAAUUUUAAUUAAUAUAUAAAUUGAUCUGAAAAUAAUGGAGACAUGUUAUCUAAUUAAACGAAACUAGGAUCUUGACCAUGAAGUAUGAACAAUAUAAUUAUAUGACAGAUAGUUUCCAACUUUACACGCAACCCAUUAUGCCAGGUGGACUUUAUUGAAAAGAGACCACCUUAACGCGUUCCUUUUUUAAAUAACCCAUUAUGCCAGGUGGAGUUUUUAAUUCCGGAAUGACGUCAGUUUGCACGCCUUUAUUAUAAGCCCCACGUUCUGCUUGGACCUUGUUGGAUGAUGAUCCUAUUUCUCCUUUUCAGGUACAGUGCUAGUUUGAUUUUACACAUUUUAAAAGUGUUUUUUUUUAAAAAAAAUUAAUUUUAUUUUUUAUUUUUUUUAAUUAUUUUAAUGUGUUAAUAUCAAAAAUAAUUUUUUAAAAAUAAAAAAUAUAUUAUUUUGAUUUAUUUCAAAAUAAUACUUUAAAAAACAUUCGAUACUAUAAUACCAAACUAGCUCGCGAUCUUACACAUUCGAGAGUUAUUGAAAGUUGGAGUUGCCGAUUAUAAGCAUGAUUUAAAAAAAAAAUAGCUUAGUAAAACAUUUAGAAAAAAAAUAUAGGUUUAAAAAUAUUUAGGAAAUAGCAUAGCUUGAAUACGAUCGUGUUUUUUAGUAUUAUUUUUAUACAAGAUCGUUAUUCUCAAUAAGGGUUAUUUAGUUAUAUUUUGAAACGUCUUAAGAUUGAAAAUCCAAUGAUUAAGAAAGAGAGAGGAGAUGAGAUGAUGUGAUAGGAAAGAAAAAUUAAAAAGAAAAAGAAAGAAUGAGUCAUCAUGAACACAUCAAGACUCUGUUUGUACACACAUAAUACCGUUAAAAAAUUCUCGACAUGACGAUUCUAACUACACAUGAAAUAUCACCAAACAAAAUCAUAAAUAACCAUAAAUUAACCUCACCAGGUCUUUCAAAGUUUGGUUAGAAUCCUCUCGUUAAGAUAUUUGUAAUAGUAAUAAGUGUGUCAUAAAUAGAGUAUUGAUUUCUUCCUGGUGACGCAUUUUUUCUUUCUCAUUUUUCUAAAUUCUUAUCUCUUAUGUCGAAUUAGUUUAUCUCAUCUUUCUUUUCUAGUCAUCAAAUUUUGAAUCUCAUUUCUUAACAAUUAAUUUUUUAUAAAAUUCUGGUUUGAUUUUUUUCAUUUUAAUUAAUUUGAAUAAAACAUGAAUUUUAAAACAACCAAUACUAUGAUAUUUUGCUAAUACUUUUUUAGAACUACGUAGAAUGGUAAAAAUACGUGGCCCAUUGGUUGUAUGGUAACGGUAGAUAUACGGGACAGCACCUACAAUUAAUGGCAUGAAUGUAAUUAACUGGCCAAACCCACCCUGGAUGAGAGCACACCCUCUGGUCAACGCACAACAAAUUUCUCAUACACGCAAACUGUAUCCCAAUCUUACCAUUCUCAACAAAAUAAAGAAGUAAUACUCUUCUUCCCUUAGCACCAGCCCCUUGAUCAAUUCAACACACAAAUCCGAUCGACAAGCGAAUCCUUUCUUUCUCCAUUCCCACUGGUCGGCAUACCGUCUUGCCCGCUGCCCGCCUUUUUCCCUCCUUUCCCACUAGCCCCCUCGUUCUAUAUAAACCUCCACACAUUGACCAUAACCUUUUAAUCUCAAAAUGUUCGUCAAACUCACCGUCACCGUUCUUUUCUUUCUAUGCGCCGUCGCUUAUUCUCGUACUCCGUCAGAUCUACCAGAUGGGGACUUCACUCUACCCGAAUUACCAAGAUCCGAUCCGAAAGCCACGCCUGUUCUCUUCCUCCCAAGCCAGAAACCCGAAACUAGUGAGCCCGCAACUGAAAUAAAGUAUCCAGCUGAUGUAGAAAUCGAGGAGCAAAAGGAACCAGGAUCGUCAUCAACGGAGGUGAAGACGGAAUCGAUUGAGACAGCGGUGCCGCUAACAGUCGUGACUUUCCGUCCAACAAACCUUCACUUCUUGCCUCGACGCCCGUUACUCCCGGUACGCCAUCGUCACGGAUGCCGUCACGGGCACAAUAUGAUGAAGCCGCGUUUCUACGGUAAUGAUAUGGUUGUAUCCGGUGAGAAGGAUGAUGGUUUUGAACUUGGUGAUCAUCAGGCGACACGUGGCGUUGUUAGGCAGAUUCCUGCUAGGUGGACCAGGUUUCACCAUGGGGGUCAGAGGUUUUCUUUCUAUGAUGACGUGGCAAAUGGAGAGGAGAGGGAGUGGGGCCACAAGAAGCAUCACAAGCACCACCAUGUUGAAGGAGAAGAGGAGCAUGAGCAUGAGCAUGAGCAUGAGCAUGAGGAGCAUGAUCAUGAGCAUGAUCACGAGGAGCAUGAGCAUGAGCAUGAGGAGCAUGAUCAUGAGCAUGAUCACGAGGAGCAUGGGCACGGGCACGGGCACGGGCACGAUCACGAGCAUGAGCAUGGGCACGAUCACGAGGAGCACGGGCACGGGCAUGAGGAGCACGGGCACGAGCAUGAGCACGAGGAGCAUGAGCAUGAGCAUGGGCAUGGGCAUGGACAUGAGCAUGAGGGGCAUGGGCAUGGACAUGAGCAUGAGGGGCAUGGGCAUGAAUGGGGAUUGUUCAAGGGGAUUCGCAAGUUUUUGAAGCAUAAUUUUUGAGGAGAUUUGGAAGGUAUUAAUGUUAUUAUAAAUAUAUUAUGGGGGUGUUUAAGUAUGUGUAUUGUAUUGUUUUGUGUUGUGGUUAAGUAAUGUA